rnacentral:tRNA from 1 species
UCCGGCAUAGCUCAGUUGGUAGUAGCGCAUGACUGUUAAUCAUGAUGUCGUAGGUUCAAGUCCUACUGCCGGAG